rnacentral:rRNA from 1 species
CGUGCAGGCGGUUCGGCAAGUCUGAUGUGAAAGCCCCGGGCUUAACCCGGGAAGUGCAUUGGAAACUGCCGGACUUGAGUACUGGAGAGGAAGGGGGAAUUCCCGGUGUAGAGGUGAAAUUCGUAGAGAUCGGGAGGAAUACCAGUGGCGAAGGCGCCCUUCUGGACGGUUACUGACGCUGAGACGCGAAAGCGUGGGGAGCAAACA